UGGGGUUGUGGCUCAGUGGAAGAGCACUUGCCUAGCAUGUAUGAGGCACUGGGUUCAAUUCUCAGCACCACAA
rnacentral:tRNA from 1 species